CCUACGGGAGGCAGCAGUGGGGAAUUUUGGACAAUGGGCGAAAGCCUGAUCCAGCAAUGCCGCGUGCAGGAUGAAGGCCUUCGGGUUGUAAACUGCUUUUGUACGGAACGAAACGGUCUUUUCUAAUACAGAAGGCUAAUGACGGUACCGUAAGAAUAAGCACCGGCUAACUACGUGCCAGCAGCCGCGGUAAUACGUAGGGUGCAAGCGUUAAUCGGAAUUACUGGGCGUAAAGCGUGCGCAGGCGGUUAUGUAAGACAGUUGUGAAAUCCCCGGGCUCAACCUGGGAAUUGCAUCUGUGACUGCAUAGCUAGAGUACGGUAGAGGGGGAUGGAAUUCCGCGUGUAGCAGUGAAAUGCGUAGAUAUGCGGAGGAACACCGAUGGCGAAGGCAAUCCCCUGGACCUGUACUGACGCUCAUGCACGAAAGCGUGGGGAGCAAACAGGAUUAGAUACCCUGGUAGUCCACGCCCUAAACGAUGUCAACUGGUUGUUGGGUCUUCACUGACUCAGUAACGAAGCUAACGCGUGAAGUUGACCGCCUGGGGAGGACGGCCGCGAGUAGUAACGUACGAAGAAGUUAGACGGCGUGAGACGUAGCCGACGGACGACGACGAGGGAGGAGGG
rnacentral:rRNA from 1 species